AUGUCAAUAGGGCCACUGCUGGGAAACCCUACACUGAGAUCACCUCUAGAUUUCCCUGCAGCUCUAGAUGAUAUUUGGGCUUGCUCUGCAUUGCCUCGUGCUGGGAAAGGCGUUCUGGGCACGCAGUGUGCAGCCCCCCACCUGGGCCCAGAACCCCUCCUUAUCUGGCCUCAAAGAGCCCGCUCAGCCCAGGGCCGGCUUUUUGCCUGCUGUGGGACGGCUUUCCCUGCUUCACCUGGCCCACCCCACUGCCGCAUCAGUCCCCUGUGGGGAGGGGACAGGAUCCUUCCUUCCGUGAUGCAAGGAAGGUGCUCAUCAGCUGCCAGGGAGGCUCCAUGGGCCACGGGCGCCCCAACCCCACUUGCAGAAGCUGGAGCGUUGUCCUGUCCAGCGCUCAGCCUGCCAUCUACACACCACCGCAGCCCCAGUCGGGACUCGAACCCAGUGGUAGGCCUCAACCACUGCGCCGCGCUGACGCUGGUGGAUCCCUCCCCACCCAGCUGCAGCCGACUGAGGAGUCCCUUCCCAGCAAGCAGGUAUGUGGUCCCAAGGAGGAAGGAGGGAGCUGCCCAGAUCCUGUUUACCAGACUGCAGCGUGCCAGCUGCUGUGAGCAGAGGCGGCCAACAGCUGCCUCUCCCACCCCUUCCCCGUGCCCCCAUCUGUAGCCCAAAGGGAAUGACAUUCCCCUCUUCCUGAGAACCUCCCCCUCAAAAAGCCACGUGCACCCAAAUCCCCAUCUCAGGCUCCGUUUCUAGGGGACCAAACCUAAAGAUGAGAUCAUGUCUGAUUUCCCCAGUCUAGAAUCUUCCCAUAUGGUCCCCAUCCUUCCAGAAAGAUCUCUCACUUCCUUGGCUCGGCCUUCGAAGCCAUUUCUCAUCUGCUGCCCUGCUGACCUCCUCCCCCACCCCUACCCCCUUGCUUCCAAGGCCCUGUGCUUGCCCACCACUCGGUGAGGACAGGCAAGACCAGCUUCUUUGGACACUUGCCGCGGAGAUGUGGUGUCCAGAGGGCCCUCCUCCCUCCCCGAAGCAUCGCAAGCAUUUGUUGGGUGCUGACGUGGCGGGACAUCCCAUAAAGUGUUUUCUUGGAGCUUUAGAAAACCCAGUCCGUUCCCAGAAUUCCGAGCUGGAGGAGUAGGGAGCGAUGGCACAGACAUUCUUUUCAUAGGAACAUGGGAAAUCUGGGGCGGCUCCGAGUGUAGCAGGUUCUCUGGGGCCACACCAACCGCCGGGCUGGUUGGGGCCGGGAUGAGUAAUGGUUGUGAGGCAGAAUAACCUGCUUGAGAAAUGAACCAGUUCUUAAUUUGGCUGUUGAUUCAUCACCAAAGAAUGAGUGGUAUUUCCCCCCUCCCUCCAAUCUGCUUCAAAGAGCAACUCUGUUUUUGUGUUUGAAGGUCUGUGUUUGCCUUUGGCUGGGGGAGAAUCAACAGGCCUCGGUACGGUACGUUAGUCCAAAGCCCAGUACCUUAGUCAGGACUCAUCCAGCUGCAAAGAACCGAAUCCUACUGAGAUUAGUUGAUGCCAAACAGAACCUAUUGUUUGGCGUCGCUGAAGAGUUGGGGACGGAACAGCUUCAGGCACGGCUGAAUCCAGGGGCUCAGGCAGGGUGGUCCGGCGCUGUCUCCAUCUCUAGGCCCUGCUUCCCUGUGUGUUGCCUUCAUUCUCAGGUGGGCUCUCUCCACCUGCUGGCAAAGAUGGUGCCCCUCAGCCCCAGGCUUCUAUCCCACCAGCCUGAUAGAGAUUUCCUCUUCAAAAAUUCUAGCCACACUCUCGGGGUUGAGUCUCACUGGCUCAGCGUGGGUCCCAUGCCCAUUACUGAAGCCAUCACUAUGGCCAGCCUUGGUCAUGUGCAUAACUCGGCCCCCGGCGCCUGGGGUGAGGCUGGGAAGAAGGGAGUUUUGGCAAAGAUGGUGAGAGAUGCUGUCUACACCCAGAGGAGGCGUCUACAUCGCCCUCCGGAGGCUGGCUGUCCGACAGAGGCCUGUGGCCGUGGUGGAUGGGUGGGGGCUUCUGAGUGGCAAAACCCUGCCCCCCUGGCAAAGAGGCUCGGAUUCCAAUUUUGUCAGACUUAGAACAGUUAAGUAAUGAGAUCAUUCUCGCAAGUCUUAUGAAACAAAUUCAUACCAUUAGCGGGGAGCAAGUCCUAAAUUCUAGAACUUGCCUCAGUCACCUCCGUCUCUAGAACUUUUAGGGACGUGGCUAAGCACAUAGGAUCUGGAGUCGAUCUCUUGGUAGGAACCCUGGCUCUGCCACAGACCAGCCGUGUGACCUUGGGACAGUCACCCAACCUCCCUGAGCCUCCAUUCCCUCAUCUGACUGAUGGAAGCCGGACAUUUCCUGCCCCACGGGACCCCUGCGAGGAUUGCGCGAAGCUCUGAGGGCUUGGGUGACGUGCCCGUGUUCUCUGGGCGAGGGUUGGCACCAGCUUGGCUCACCCCACCUUCUAGGCUCAUUCUGUCCCCAGCACCGUCAUCGCACAGGGCCGUGCCGACCUUCAUAGAGUCUUAUCCACUGCUUUGCUUCCUCCCUCUAAGCCCCAAGCAUGUUCCUCUUCUGGCAAAUUCCUAGAACCCUCACCGCGGAACUGCAUGGGAUGAGGGUUCUGGGAAACUGAUUUCCAGCAUAAUUGAGUGGAUGCGGCACCCUUGUCCCCUGCACACCCCCACCCCCAGGUCCUCUGGUCAGAGCCAGGCAGCUGGGGACCUUGGCUCCUCCUCCCAGAAGCCGCUCAUCUCCUUCCUCGCUGGUCUCCAGCAGAAUUCCAACAGGGUGAGGGUGGAAACUUGGCUUCCUAAGGCCUGACCUCAAAAUUUGCAGGGUCACUUCUGCUGUGUUCUGCGGGUCACAGCAGGUCACCCGGGCCAGCCCGGAUUUGAGGGAUGAGGAAACAGAUUGCGUCUCUUGAUGGUAAAAGUCACAAAAUACUGUGACCAUGUUUGUCAAUUGUAAGACACCUACCGUCAUUAUUGGAAGUUUGUUAUGAUAAAUAUAUUUAUGGACAAUGACAGUGAAUUUAAAGGGACCCCCCCCCCCACUGAGAUGUGCAGUGCACAAUCUGUGCAACUGUCAGGAUGGCCCUGCUGAUGCCGUGGGAUUCUGUGUUCUCGCUGAACCUCACUGUGGUAGGCAUCUGGAGCUUUUGAAUGCCCAGUGUGCAGCACUCCUUUUGGGGAUAGUCACUCCCCAUCCAUCCCCACCUCUAUUUUGGAGGGGCCGACCCUCCCAAGGUCCAGGUGGGGGCAUGCAAUCAGGAACUCUAUCGUUCUAACCAUAGGGAUUGGGCAAAGGAUGGGUUUAUGAUCCAUGCUUGGACCAAUGAGAUUCAUAGGUCUUUUGCCAAAAGGGUUAGGAAAAAGGUUCUCUGUUUCCACCUUUUUUGGGUUGCUUGGCUGAUUGGAGGCCUGGAACUGCUGGAGAUCAUCUUUGCAAUGAGAAUGAGAAUGAAGCAGUCAGAGUGGAGAGCUGAGCCACGAGAUAGAGAGGGAGGGAGAGAGAGAGAGAGAGAGAGAUUCCUGAUGACAACAUUUAGACUCCUCGAUCCAGCCAUGCCUGAAGUCCUUACUGUGGACUUUCCAUUUAUGGAACCCAAUAAAUUCCCUUUGGUGUCAGUUUCUAUCCCUUGC
rnacentral:lncRNA from 12 species